ensembl:snRNA U6 U6 spliceosomal RNA
GUGCUCGCUUCGGCAGCACCUAUCCUAAAAUUGGAACGAUGCAGAGAUGAGCACGGGCCCCGUGCGAGGCUGACACGCAAAUUUGUGAAGCGUUCCAGAUUUCU